ACGUCUGAUAUAAAGAUAGUAUGCGACCAAACAGUAGAAGGAAGAUUACAGUUUAUUUCAGAAUCUCCACCAACGUUUUAUCAUUUUGAACUUAUUAGUAGAUAUGGAUGCCCUGUGCCAGGAUCACAAAGUCUUCACUUUAUGCCAGUUGAGAGUCUGAUGGAGAAUCGAAAAGAAGGGCGGUCGUUGUCUACGCAUUUAAUACCAUCGAUGCCAUCAUCAAACGACAGAACAAUCAAUACUGUAACAUUGAUAUUUACAUGUAUUGUGGUAAUGGUGAUGCUGGUGAUACUACUUUUAUUAAUGGGAAUUGGUUUGAUGAUUUCUAGACAUACCAACUUACAUCCAGAUACAAAUAUUCUACAUAAAUUUUAUUAUCAAAAUACGUACCGAAAUAGUGAUAAAUUAGAUUGUUAUACAAAAUAAAGAUU